rnacentral:rRNA from 1 species
UUAGAGUUUGAUCCUGGCUCAGGAUGAACGCUAGCGACAGGCUUAACACAUGCAAGUCGAGGGGCAGCGGGGGUGCAGGCUUGCCUGCACCUGCCGGCGACCGGCGCACGGGUGAGUAACACGUAUGGAACCUGCCCGCCACAGGGGGAUAACCCGGGGAAACCCGGCCUAAUACCCCAUGCCGCCCGGACCGGGCAUCCGGACCGGGCGAAAGGAGGAAUCCGGUGGCGGCUGGGCAUGCGGCGCAUUAGCUUGACGGCGGGGUAACGGCCCACCGUGGCGACGAUGCGUAGGGGUUCUGAGAGGAAGGCCCCCCACACUGGAACUGAGACACGGUCCAGACUCCUACGGGAGGCAGCAGUGAGGAAUAUUGGUCAAUGGGCGCGAGCCUGAACCAGCCAAGUCGCGUGAGGGAUGACGGUCCUACGGAUUUGUAAACCUCUUUUGCCGGGGAGCAAAGUGCCGCACGUGUGCGGUUUGGAGAGUCCCCGGAGAAAAAGCAUCGGCUAACUCCGUGCCAGCAGCCGCGGUAAUACGGAGGAUGCGAGCGUUAUCCGGAUUUAUUGGGUUUAAAGGGUGCGUAGGCGGACGCUUAAGUCAGCGGUAAAAUUGCGGGGCUCAACCUCGUCGAGCCGUUGAAACUGGGUGCCUUGAGUGGGCGAGAAGUACGCGGAAUUCCCGGUGUAGCGGUGGAAUGCGCAGAUAUCGGGAAGAACACCGAUGGCGAAGGCAGCUCUCUGGGCCGUCACUGACGCUGAGGCGCGAAAGCUGGGGGAGCGAACAGGAUUAGAUACCCUGGUAGUCCCAGCCGUAAACAAGGGAUAUGGGGGGGGGGGGGAUUCCCCCCUCCUUGCCGCAGCCAACGCAUUAAUUUUCCCGCUGGGGGAGUCGGCCCGCAAGGCUAAAAACUCAAAGGAAUUGACGGGGGCCCGCACAAGCAGCGGAGCAGGUGGCUUAAUUUGAAGCAACGCGAAGAACCUUACCAGGGCUUGACAUGCGCCUGAAGCCGCGGAGACGCGGUGGCCGAGAGGAGGGCGCGCAGGUGGUGCAUGGCUGUCGUCAGCUCGUGUCGUGAGAUGUUGGGUUAAGUCCCGCAACGAGCGCAACCCCCGUCCCGUGUUGCCAGCAUUAGGUUGGGGACUCGCGGGAGACUGCCGGCGUCAAGCCGGAGGAAGGUGGGGACGACGUCAAGUCAUCAUGCCCCUUAUGCCCUGGGCUGCACACGUGCUACAAUGGCCGGUACAGAGGGUUGCCACCCCGCGAGGGGGAGCGGAUCCCGGAAAGCCGGCCCCAGUUCGGAUCGCAGGCUGCAACCCGCCUGCGUGAAGCCGGAGUUGCUAGUAAUCGCGGAUCAGCACGCCGCGGUGAAUACGUUCCCGGGCCUUGCACUCACCGCCCGUCAAG